rnacentral:rRNA from 1 species
UACGGAAGGUGCAAGCGUUAUCCGGAUUUAUUGGGUUUAAAGGGUGCGUAGGCGGCUUUUUAAGUCGGUGGUUAAAGGUAGCAGCUCAACUGUUUUACAUGCCAUCGAUACUGAAGAGCUUGAGUUAUCAGAAGGCAGGCGGAAUUUCUGGUGUAGCGGUGAAAUGCAUAGAUACCAGAAGGAACACCUAUUGCGAAGGCAGCUUGCUGCAGAUAAACUGACGCUGAUGCACGAAAGCGUGGGGAGCGAACAGG